UAAGGAAUAUUGCUCAAUGGGAGAAAUCCUGAAGCAGCAACGCCGCGUGGAGGAUGAAGGGUCUAUGACUUGUAAACUCCUGUAAAGAAGGAAAAAAUUCCCAUUAGAUGGGAGAUGAUGGUACUUCUGGAGUAAGCCCCGGCUAACUACGUGCCAGCAGCCGCGGUAAUACGUAGGGGGCAAGCGUUGUCCGGAUUUACUGGGUGUAAAGGGUGCUCAGGCGGAUUUGUGAGUCAGAGGUGAAAUCUUACAGCUUAACUGUGAAACUGCCUUUGAUACUGCAAGCCUAGAGUAUGGAAGAGAGUGAUGGAAUAUCUGGUGUAGCAGUGAAAUGCGUAGAUAUCAGAUAGAACACCAAUGGCGAAGGCAGUCACUUGGUCCAUUACUGACGCUAAAGCACGAAAGCGUGGGUAGCAAACA
rnacentral:rRNA from 1 species